UAGUUCCAAUGUUUGCAUUGUUAAUUCCAAUGCUUUGGUUACCAAUGUAAUGCAUAUAGUAAAACAACAACCUCUCCAACCCACCCUCUUCAUCGUCGCUUUCUCUCCUCCCUCUCUUUUCCUCUUCCACAAAUUCUCUCACUCAAGCCUUUCAGCUCUGACCAUUUCCUCACAACCAAGCCUUUCAGCUCCGCCGCUGCUGUCUUUGAUUCCAACCCAACACUUUCUUCUUCCAAUUCUGGGUUUUCCCUUUUCAACAUCAUCUUCAAUCUUAAUUCCUAUCAAUUGACUAUUCAAAUCAGAUCUCAAAGUUUCUGAGAAGAAAAGAGAAUACGCCUGCUAAUGUAAUUGGAUUUCCGAUGAAUGACUUUCCUAUAAUCACGUUUUUCAACCGUUGGCAGGUUUUGUUAUGGUGGAGGUCCUUAAGCAACUUUUUUCUCAACUGUUUGUCCCAUACUCAUCUCUGCUCUCACAUUAUCAUCUUUGUUUACUAAUAAAACUAUUCCAUUAGUUUAACUUUUGAUUCUUCUCUUAACUUAUUCACUAAUGUAUUUAGUUUAUGUAUUUUGAUUUUGUGCUAUUGAUGCACUUUAUUUUCUAAUUUUACCAUUCAGUUUUUUAUAUUCAUUUUAUUUUUGAUUGCACUAUAUCAGCAUAAAAGCUUUGGCAAGGGUAAAUGUUAUUUUCCUGAUAACUUUGCAGGUUGGUCUUUAAGGGAAUAGUUUUAUUACUAACUGAGUUAUUUUUUUUUACUAUAGUGCAGUUAUGGAUCUAUUCUGAAAUUCAUCAUAGCAUUUAAGAUUAAAAAAAUAAAAUCAUUCUUUGUAGGUAAAAUCCUCUGUUUGGCUGUAUAGGAAGGAGCUGAGUAUAGUUUUGAUAUGCCUUACAAAUCCUCCACUUUUACAAACUUGAAGGAUGAUUGGACCAUACAGUUUGUCGUCAAAUUAGAUCCACAUGUUAUGCAAGAGGAACUUUCAUUUAGUUCGGGUUGAAACUGUAAUAAGGACGGCCACAUGUGUCUCUAAUUAAAACAGAAAAUGACGAGACUCUAAUAAGGACAACCACAUGGUAUGCAAGAGAAACUUUCAUACAGUUAGAGGAGUAUUAAGUUUGAGAUUGGUAUCUAGAUUGUCAAACUUACUCUUUAUAUUAAACCAACUCAAAUAGUUUGAAGCUUUAUUUUUAGAAACAUUGGGAUGAAUUUGUUAUUUGAUCUAUGAUGACUCAUAUUGGGUGCUCCUCCACUACUCAGGAGUAUUAGCUAUUAAUUAAUGUUCAAAGCAAAACUGAAAGAAAGUUUAAUUCGCAAAUUUUAGUUUGUUAAUAGUUCAUCCAAGUUCAAGGUUUUGGGAAAUUGAGUUAUUGUGGGGGUUCACAUUUUCAUUUUUGUUAUAAUAGACUGCAAGUUGGGUUUGUGCUUACAAGGUCAGUAACAUGUUUUCCAAACUUAUGUGUUUUCUUGGAUAGCUAUGUUACUAAUGUAUUUCUAUUUUCUAUGCC